rnacentral:lncRNA from 1 species
CCAUUUCUAAUAAAUCUCAAUUUAAACACAUUAACCAAUCAAAAAUUUGGAGCUAUACAUUACUUCUUGCAUAAGCUAUUUUGACAUAAGCUCAAAUUAGUCUUAUAAAUAAUACAAAGUUUAUUUAUUUGCAUAAGCUCAAAUAAGUCUUUUCUAAAAAAACAAUAUACCAAGAUAUGUACACAAUUUUUUAUAAAAAUAAUUAAAUAUCCGACAUAUGUUUUUUUGUAGUUUUAGUCCUAACCCCCAUUUUCCCCUAAAAGAAAGUUGAUUUGUCUUAUUUUUAAAUUACGUGGACAAAAAACACUUAGGUGGCAUUUCCAACAUGGAAAAUGACAUUAACAUAUCAUCAAAUCAAAUUUUUUAAUUGAAAAAUAAUUAAAAUAUUUCAGAAAUUAAAAAAAAAAAAAAACAUUUCAUGGUCAAUUAAAAGAUCAAGUUAAAUAAAUUAUGGGAUUCCAAAAAUAAAACUAAAAACCCAAAAAUAUUCAUCUUCUUCAUUGGUCUCUUCAUCUUCAAUCUAGGAUAGAACUCAUACCCAAAAAUCAUCACAUAUCAACACAUCUCUCUUUCACCAUAGAUCACAAACACACAAAACCCUAUUUCCAAUUCAAUCAAAACCCUAAAUUUAUAAAUAAUAAAAUCCGAAAUCUGAAAUGAAAGAAGGAAAAUGUGCUGCUUCAACCCAAAUACGAAAAUCUCAUCUCUAUAUUUGCCCAAUGUAACUCAAGUAACCUGCACCACUUCUAGAUCUCUCUUUCACCUUCGUUUCUUUUUUUUUUCUUUCACGAAGCCAUGGACUAUCAUGUUAAUUUGACAAGAGUGAAUGAGACUGUAAGUUUCUUUGUUUUUCUUUCACAAAAUUGAUUGGAGUGAAGGAGACAUAUCUAUUUGUUUCAUGGGUUGUCGUGUUUAUGUGUUAUGUUUUGAUUUAAACCCAUAUUUGGUUAAUGAUGGUAAUAAACAUGGAUCUACCAAUAAUGAUGUUUGGUGGCGAUGAUGAUGAUGGUGGUGGUGAACGAUGGUGUUGGUAUGAUGAAGGAGGGAUGAUGAAUUGUAAAUGGAUCUACCUACCAUGGUGUUUGAUUUUAGGGAUGAUAAUGAACUAUUGAGAAGAUGGAUUAUAAAUGGAUGAAGAUAUGAAGGAAUGUUAACAAUUUUGGGUUUUGAUAUACCGUUGAGGUUUAUUUUAUUUUUUUAAUUAUGUACAUCUAUAUUUUUAAUUGUUUUCUAUCAUUUAAUUGAUUUAUAUGUAUUUUUGAAUAAUAAGAUAAUUGUUUUUCCAUGUAUGAUUUGCCACGUAAGCGUGUUUUUGGACACCUCAUCUGAAAAUCUGACACAUCAACAUUUUUUGAAGGAAAAUUUGGGGUUAGGAUUAAAACUGCAAAAAAAAAAAAAACAAUUGAAAGUGAUGCAAUAGUAAACUUAAUGAAAGUGAGAGUAGUAGAGUCGUCCGGCCAAGUAGUAGAGUCGUGUUGAGCCACCUAGGAUAGAGUGUUAACUCUAAUGUUGUUCUUGUUGAUUGUUCUGAGUUGUUGUUUCUUAUGUAGAACCUUGAGAUGACUGGUAAUAGUGAUGCUGCUCUUGUUGCUGCGCUUUAGGCUGUAGCUCAAGCUGUUCAACAGCAACCGAAAGUUGAUGCUGGUAAUGAUGGAACUAGGAUGUUGGAGACUUUCUUGAGGAAUCAACCACCAACAUUUAAAGGGAGGUAUGAUCCUGAUGGCGCCCAGAAGUGGCUUAAGGAGAUUGAAAGAAUUUUCAGGGUAAUGCAGUGUUCAGAGGUGCAAAAAGGUGCGGUUUGGAACGCACAAUGUUAGCGGAAGAGGUUGAUGACUGGUGGAUAAGUUUGUUGCCUGUGCUGGAGCUGGAUGGAGCUGCGGUAACUUGGGCUGUGUUCAGGAGAGAGUUCCUGAGUAGGUACUUCCCGGAAGAUGUCAGAGGUAAGAAAGAAAUAGAAUUUCUGGAGCUGAAACAGGGUGAUAUGUCAGUAACAGAAUAUGCUGCAAAGUUUGUGGAGCUUGCUAAGUUUUAUCCACAUUACACCGUUGAGACUGCUGAGUUCUCUAAGUGCAUAAAGUUCGAGAAUGGUCUGCGUGCUGAUAUUAAGCGGGCCAUUGGUUAUCAGAAGAUUAGAAACUUUUCUGAGUUGGUGAGUAGCUUUAGGAUUUAUGAGGAUGAUACCAAAGCUCAUUAUAAGGUGAUGAGUGAGCGGAGGAAUAAGGAUAAGAAUCGUUCUAAGCCGUACAGUACCCCGGGUGAACUUAGGUUGAAUGACGAGAGGAGGCCCAAGAGGGAAGAGAAAACAUAUAUGCAGCGGAAUGAUGUGCUUCUAGUAUCACUUCAAAAGCUGGUUGAGAGUGCUUCUGAUGUGAUGUUCAGAAUCAGAUAUGCAGCGGAAUGAAAACAGAGCAGAGAAAAAGGAAGAGAGACACAAGCAAUUAUCAUGGUUCCUUCCACAAACCGGAAGUAGUCCAGUCCCCCUUGUAUUUCCAAGGAGAUUUCCACUAAGAAAUAAUCACACAGAUUACAACUGCUCAAUACUCUCAAGUAUGAGACUUCUCAAAUGCUCAAGCACGCAGGCGAGAGACUUCCAAUGCUCAAGCACUAAAGCAAGAGUCUUCUAAUGCUCAAGCACGCAGGCGAGAGACUUCUAAUCAAACAGAAUUACACAGAAAAUUGUUUGACUUUGAACACUUGAUAUACAAUUAGUGGUGUUCACAAUACAAUGCAAUAAAGACUCUAGACUUAAGAAUUUCUAAGAUAUAUCAAAUCAGUGCAGAAAUUCAAAGUGCUUUUUAGAAUCAAAUUUGGCAGAGUUUUGGCGCUUUUAACUUGUGUUGAUGUCUCUUGCCAAUCUUCAAGUCUUCACUCCUUUAUAUAGUGGUGAGUAGAGAGACGUUGAGAUUUUUAGCACGUCUAAAGAGUCGUUGAGUUCCUUUGAUCAUCCACCAGUAAUCUUUUGCCUGAUUUGGGUGUAGUCCUAUGAAGGAUCAACUUCAAAUUCAUUCCUAUCUUGAAGGAACAUUUAUGCAGGCAGAGCUGUUGUCUUGUCUUGUAGCAUAGACAAAAACAGAGUAGUGGAGGUAGUAGUUGUACACUUGUACUUUGUCAACUCUUCAAUGAAGGACAAACACCUAGUGCUUUUCAAAUGAACGUUGGUACCUCCCUUUUAAUCCUUCGUUCUCUUAGACGAGGUUAAAACGAAAAACAACUCCUUUGAAACUUUAGUUUAAAUAUACUGAUCAACUGUAGCUUCUGGUGAUGAUAUAGCUUCUGAUGAAAUCUUGCUUCUGAUGGACUUAUGCUUCUGAUGAACUUCUGCUUCUGAUGACGUCAUUACUUCAGAGGCACUUGUUACUUAAGAACCACUUCAUAGCUUCAGACGCAGUUUUCUUCAGAUGCUUUAGAUUCCUUUGCUCUCUAUUGUUCUUCCAAGACCUAUUGAAAUUGAUUAACUUUGCCUAUGGUCCUGUACACUUGAACAAUUAUUAGCAAUAACCAAUUGACAAUUUUUAAUACCUUGUUAUCAUCAAAACUCAUUAAGGUUUAUUGUGAAACACAUUUUGUUCCAACAUUCCGUUGCGGUGAAAAGGGUCAUACUGAGGUAGAUUGCAGUCAUAAUGAUGUAGUUUGCUAUAACUGUAAUGAAGAAGGUCAUAUUAGUUCGCAGUGCAAGAAGCCUAAGAAGGCCCAGACUGGUGGGAAGGUUUUUGCUUUGACUGGUACGCAGACGAUGCACGAAGGAUCGCUUGAUUAGAGGUAUAUUUUCGAGGACGAAAAUUCUUAAGUUGGGGAGAGUUGUAACGCCCCAAUUUUAUUUAAUUAUUAUUGGUCGAUUUCAAGUCUUUUUUUUAUAUAUAUGAUUUUAUAUUAUUAUGUGGUGUGUUAUAUUUUAUUAAAUAAGUUAUGUUACUAUUUAAUAGAAUAAGUGGGAAUUUAGAAUAAUUGGAGUUUUGGGGGUUAUAUUUUAAUUAAAGGAAUUAAGUAGGAGUUAAGUGUUAUAAUUGGGGAAGUUAAGAAUAGGGGAGAAGUUGGGAAACUGUCAGUCAGUCAGAAAUAUUUUCACGUGGAAGCAGUUUUUGGGAGAAAAACCAAGAGGGAGCCAAGAGUAUCCAAGAGAAGAUCGUGUAGAGCUUUGUUCAUCAAUCUAAGGUAAGGGUGAGACUAACUCUCAAUAAUUAUAAAUUAUAUAACUUCUGAUUUUGAUUUAACAUAAGGGUGUCGGUUAAAUUUGGGAUUUGGGGUUAGGUUUUGAUCAUUAGAUUUUGAAUUGAAAGUGUAGAAACCAUGAUAAAGAUGAGAGAUUGUGUACUGAUCAUAGAUAUAAUCAUAUAGCGAUGUUGUAAACAAUUUUGGGGAUUGAAUUGGGAAAAAUUGGGACUAGCUUUCUCUAAAGAUGGGUUGUAUAAUUCUGAAAAAGGGUUUAACAUUGUAGUUGUUGAUGAUGAAUUUACAUGCUCAAGUUAUGUAUAUAUGCAUACUUAUGUUUUUGCUCAAAAUUGGUGAAGUAUAAUGUUGUUGUUGAUGAAUUCACUUCUGAUUGUUGUUGUUUUUGUUAUGAGAUGUUGUUUUGAUGAUUGAAACCUUGGGUAAUCUUAACCAUAGAGCUUGAAGUGAACUUUUGUUGUUCUUGAGAACUUUUAUGAAAAGUGUGAUUUUGUAAAUUAAUGUUUUGGGUCAUGUUUUAUAUGGUUCUGAGUGCCUUAACAUGUAUAGAAAUGGUUAGACAAGUUUUUGGAUCAAAUUUGGGCAUAGGGAAGUCAAAAUUGGAAUUUUGGGGUGAAAAAUAGAGUUUUCCCGAGAGCUACCUGUCAUAACUCGCCAUGGCGAGUGGAGUUACUCGCCGGGGCGAGUAGCUCUCUGACAUGAAAGUUGUAGAUAAUUUUGUUAGCUUUCCAAUGGCUUUGGUUUGACUCGAAAAUGAUUUUUAGUUUUUGAGAUAUGAUGAAAAUACUCCAAGGAGGUCUUAGUGAAAUUUUAUGAAAAUUCAGCAAAACCGUUUCUAAGUUAAUCCAAAACUUAUGGGAUAAUUCCAACCCUUAAAACUAGAAGUACUAUGAGUUCAAUUAAGGUGUUUAAGAGUAUUUAACCCAUGUUGUGAGUUGAUCCUUGGGUUAGGAAUGAAAGUUUAUUAAAAUAUUGUUGAUGUUCAGUAAGUCUGAUAUAAGAUGGUUGAGGGUUUUAGUAUUAUGAUGAAUUUGCCAAUGCAUUAUGUAUGAUGUUUAAGUAGUGUUGAUUAUCAUUUGGUAUUGUCAUAUUAUGUGUUACUAGUGUUGUUGUUGGAUCUUAAUUAAGAUGUGAAUGUUGGUUUAAAUUGUAAGCGUGCUGGGUUGUACGUUGCCGAAUGAGUCAUAAGUAAGUUAUGCAAAUUGUCGAUGUUGUUAUCAUCGUUGGUGUUGUUGUUGAAGUCGUAGUUGUAUCCGUUGUUGGUGAUUGAUCAGGUUAGAUGUUUCUAUAAGAGGUGGUGUACUCUUACGUGUCGUCUUUAUAAGAGGUGGUGUACUCUUACUUGUCGUUUUUAUAAGAGGUGGUGUACUCUUACUUGUCGUUUUAUAAGAGGUGGUGUACUCUUACUUUAUCGUUUUUCUAAGAGGUGGUGUACUCUUACUUUGUUGUUGUCUAUGAGAGGUGGUGUACUCUUACGUGGUCUAUGUUGAUGAGUAUGACGAGGUUAUGAUGAUCUUCUAUAGUGUUGAAUGUGAGGUUGUUAUGAUAUUACAUGAUGUUACCUAUGAGUUAUUAAAUGUACUUGAUGAGGGUUAUGUUAAGUUGUCUUCUAUUCAUGAGCACUAAGGGGAUGUUAAGAAGAAGAAUUAUUGAGUGUAUAUGAUGAUGUCUAUGUUGUUAAUUGUAAUUGAUGAAUUUUAUGCUUAUUAUUAUUGUUUGAGAAAUCUCACCCCUUCUGCUUGGAAAUGUUACCCUUCGUAUGGGUAACUUGCAGGUAUUUGAAGAUUAGUAGGAGUGGUGGCUUAAAGUGUCUAGGGCUCUGAUACGUACGAGAUGGGAUUUUCUUAUUGUUUUUCAUUCCUAUGUAUCAAUUUUUGAAUAUUGCUGACGUAGCCCUAUGGUUGUUGAAUUUAUGUUGAUAAGGCUUUUAUGCCAAGAUUUAAUUAUGGAGAUUUAAACAGUUGAUGUUGUUGUUUUGAUGC